AGAGUGGCCAAUUUUAUACGGAGUAAUUGCUAGACUAAACGGGUAAACCCUAGUACCCUAUUGUUCCUACGCAUCUCAUUCUUCAACUCUUCGCAAAUCGCAGCGACCCGCCGACGCCGCGAGGUUGGACGCCGGAAACUGGUCAGAAGCACAAUAGUGAUUCUUGUAAGAUGGUUGUUUUUACAGCAUUCAAUCGCCUUGCACCCAAAACCAAGAAUCUUGUAGUUGCUGGAGGCUUGUCAGGAUUUGUCUUUGGGGUGUAUUUCUACACCAUGAGAGCUGUCGGAGGCACAGAUGAACUUCAGAUUGCCAUUGAUAAGUUUGAACAGGAGAAACAGAACAAAGACACUAAAGCAAGUUUGGCAUCAAAUACAUAAUAUCACUGUCAUAGUUAGGAAUAAGAAACUGUGGUCUUGGCAGGAGGAACAGAAAUGUCAUCAGAUUCUAGUUGUUAAAAUAAUGUUUUUGCUUUUAGACUCAAGUUUAAUGUUUUGUUGUAAAUAAAUCAAGAUUCUGCAUUUCCUUCCAUGUUUACCUGAGAAUAUGAUUCUGAAAUAAGAGUUCAGAGUUCUA